rnacentral:rRNA from 1 species
GAUGAACGCUGGCGGCGUGCCUAACACAUGCAAGUCGAGCGAUUCUCUUCGGAGAAGAGCGGCGGACGGGUGAGUAACGCGUGGGUAACCUGCCCUGUACACACGGAUAACAUACCGAAAGGUAUGCUAAUACGAGAUAAUAUGCUUUUAUCGCAUGGUAGAAGUAUCAAAGCUCCGGCGGUACAGGAUGGACCCGCGUCUGAUUAGCUAGUUGGUAAGGUAACGGCUUACCAAGGCGACGAUCAGUAGCCGACCUGAGAGGGUGAUCGGCCACAUUGGAACUGAGACACGGUCCAAACUCCUACGGGAGGAAGCAGUGGGGAAUAUUGCACAAUGGGCGAAAGCCUGAUGCAGCAACGCCGCGUGAGCGAUGAAGGCCUUCGGGUCGUAAAGCUCUGUCCUCAAGGAAGAUAAUGACGGUACUUGAGGAGGGAGCCCCGGCUAACUACGUGCCAGCCGCCGCGGUAAAAC